rnacentral:rRNA from 1 species
CCUACGGGUGGCAGCAGUGGGGAAUAUUGCACAAUGGGGGAAACCCUGAUGCAGCGACGCCGCGUGAAGGAAGAAGUAUUUCGGUAUGUAAACUUCUAUCAGCAGGGAAGAAAAUGACGGUACCUGACUAAGAAGCCCCGGCUAACUACGUGCCAGCAGCCGCGGUAAUACGUAGGGGGCAAGCGUUAUCCGGAUUUACUGGGUGUAAAGGGAGCGUAGGCGGUAUAGCAAGUCAGAAGUGAAAGCCCAGGGCUCAACUCCGGGACUGCUUUUGAAACUGUUGAACUAGAGUGCGGGAGAGGUAAGUGGAAUUCCUAGUGUAGCGGUGAAAUGCGUAGAUAUUAGGAGGAACACCAGUGGCGAGGGCGGCUUGCUGGACUGUAAAUGACGCUGAGGCUCGAAAGCGUGGGGAGCAAACAGGAUUAGAUACCCCUGUAGUC